rnacentral:rRNA from 1 species
AUGAAAAGUAGUUUCAUAUUUUAUCUACUAGGCAUUGCAGUUGUUGUUAUUUUAUUCUAUAAUCUCAGUCAAACAUUCACAUGGUUGACUUGCACGGAAACCAAUACACCUUAUAUUCUGGAACGGAGGGAGUAUUACAUAUAUGAAUUACUGAAGGCACAGGCUUCAUUUUCAUAUCUUACACAAAUUACUGCUAAACUUUUGUUUGAUAUAUUGAUUUUCAAUUUAGUCUUGCAGAUCUGUAUAUAUUGGCUCGAUGGAAACCCUUCAUUUGCAUUGCUGGCUCUUGUGCUUAGGUUUUGCAUUAUCACCAUUUGGCUUCUUCCAUUUGGUGAAUUUCUUGUUUAA